rnacentral:rRNA from 1 species
AGCUCCAAUAGCGUAUAUUAAAGUUGCUGCAGUUAAAAAGCUCGUAGUUGCAUUUCCGAGGCAAGGGAUUAGUCCGACCUUUGGUGGGUAUUUAAUCCUCUUGCCUCGUCCUUGAGUGGUGCUUCUUGGUAUUAAGUUAUCGAGGAGAUAGCCGCUCAUCGUUUACUGUGAGAAAAUUAGAGUGUUCAAAGCAGGCUUAUGCCGUUGAAUAUAUUAGCAUGGAAUAAUAAGAUAGGACCUCGGUACUAUUUUGUUGGUUUGAGAACCAAGGUAAUGAUGAAUAGGGACAGUUGGGGGUAUUCGUAUUCAGUUGUCAGAGGUGAAAUUCUUAGAUUACUGGAAGACUAACUACUGCGAAAGCAUUUAUCAAGGAUGUUUUCA